rnacentral:rRNA from 1 species
AUUGAACGCUGGCGGCAUGCUUUACACAUGCAAGUCGGGCGAGUGGCGGACGGGUGAGUAAUGUAUGGGAACGUGCCCGAUAGCGGGGGAUAACUACUGGAAAAGGUGGCUAAUACCGCAUACCCUUGGAGGGGCCCAUGUGGGAUUAGGUAGUUGGUGGGGUAAAGGCUCACCAAGGCCACGAUCCGUAGCUGGUCUGAGAGGAUGACCAGCCACACUGGGACUGAGACACGGCCCAGACUCCUACGGGAGGCAGCAGUGGGGAAUCUUGGACAAUGGGGGAAAGCCUGAUGCAGCCAUGCCGCGUGUAUGAAGAAGGCCUGAGGGUUGUAAAGUACUUUCGGCAGAGAAGCGUUACCUGCAGAAGAAGCACCGGCUAACUACGUGCCAGCAGCCGCGGUAAUAC